CCUACGGGAGGCAGCAGUGGGGAAUAUUGGGCAAUGGGCGCAAGCCUGACCCAGCAACGCCGCGUGAAGGAAGAAGGCUUUCGGGUUGUAAACUUCUUUUGUCAGGGACGAAGCAAGUGACGGUACCUGACGAAUAAGCCACUGCUAACUACGCGCCAGCAGCCGCGGUAAUACGUAGGUGGCAAGCGUUAUCCGGAUUUAUUGGGUGCAAAGGUCGUGUAUGCGGGAAUGCAAGUCAGAUGUGAAAACUAGUGGCUCAACCCGUAGACUGCAUUUGAAACUGUAUUUCUUGAGUGCUGGAGAGGCAAUCGGAAUUCCGUGUGUAGCGGUGAAAUGCGUAGAUAUACGGAGGAACACCAGUGGCGAAGGCGGAUUGCUGGACCGUAACUGACGCUGAGGCGCGAAAGCGUGGGGAGCAAACAGGAUUAGAUACCCCAGUAGUC
rnacentral:rRNA from 1 species